AAGAGUUCGGGGCACCCUGGGUCCCCUUCUCCCACCACUCUGUGAACCCGUCAGAUGUUGCUUUGUCGGAGCGAGGACGCGUCCCCCCCGGACACGCGCUGGGGCGCCUCCGACGGAGGUCUUUUAAAUCCUGCUUAACCGCAGUCUGAGGAACCACAAGAAUCAAA
rnacentral:misc_RNA from 1 species